UUUAACAAUAAAUCAAAUGAUAGAAAAAGAAUUAAUAAUUACUUUUUUUAAUAAGACGAACAGUCAAACAUGUUUAGAAAAGUCAACAGCGUCAAAUAUUUAGAAACGGAGGGAGUAUUUAGCAUGGCUUGCACCUGCAAUCUUCAGAGCUCAUUGAUUUUGUUCGCCGUUUGGCAUUGGCUGCUUGUUUAUACAUAUACUUAGCCAUGCAGUGCAAUCUGUACAGGAAAUUUUGUCUGAAAGCAUCGAUCAGAGUUUGACUCUUCGAGUGGAUUUUGAUCUGACAGUCACCAUGACCCGGGUUUACAUCGAGUUUUUGCUAAUCUGUUUGCAUGUUGUAAAAUAGUAUUACUUUGCUGAUGAGAAGCUUUACUAUUGCUUGAUACAAAGUCGGCUAAAUAUCUCUGCUUACAAGAAACAUCAAAAGCACCAGACAAGAAAUCGAUUAGGCAUACUCCACCAAGUAAGUUGCAGGCUUUCAUAUAUGUUCAUCCAACAUCACUGACUCAGCAUCCUAGCUUUUGCUAGGUUUUCUUGAAUUUUAUAAACAGAAGGUGCACAAAUGCAAGAAUGCACCUGUAGUUAUGACUUUAUACACCACUACUUUUGAAAAUGCAAUUAGCACAUGAUGAACUCUAUACUGAUUAUGCAGGAAGAAACAAA